rnacentral:misc_RNA from 1 species
GAUGAAGAACGCAGCGAAAUGCGAUAAGUAGUGUGAAUUGCAGAAUUCAGUGAAUCAUCGAAUCUUUGAACGCACAUUGCGCCCCUUGGUAUUCCAUGGGGCAUGCCUGUUCGAGCGUCAUUUGUACCUUCAAGCUUUGCUUGGUGUUGGGUGUUUGUCUCGCCUUUGCGUGUAGACUCGCCUUAAAAUAAUUGGCAGCCGGCGUAUUGAUUUCGGAGCGCAGUACAUCUCGCGCUUUGCACUCAUAACGACAGCGUCCAAAAGUACAUUUUACACUCUUGACCUCGGAUCAGGUAGGGAUACCCGCUGAACUUAAGCAGAUCAAUAAGCGGAGGA